rnacentral:lncRNA from 1 species
AUAAAAAACAAAAAAGAAAAAAAAUAGAAACACCUCGUCGGCGUUUAGAAAGGCGGUUGGGGUUCGGCGGCGGCGGCGGAGGCCGGUGAGUAUCCGCGGCCGCGCGAACCAGUCGCCUGAGCUCCCAGAAGCAUCCGGCGCUGCGGCUCCUCCGUGAUUUGUGUAUUUUUCCCCUUGAAUCCCGCGCCGUCGCGGCCGCCGUGUGCUCUUGCCGCCGGCGAGAAGGGGGGAAAACGCCCGCGGAGAUGUCGGUCCUCAUCGUGACCAGCGUGGGGGACAUCGAGGUGGACCUCCACACCGACAUGUGCCCCCUCACCACCAAGAACUUCCUCAAGCUCUGCAAGAUGAAGUAUUACAAUGGGUGCCUGUUCCACAAGGUGGAGAAGGAUUUCUUGGCACAAACUGGGGACCCAACUGGAACAGGAGCUGGAGGCGAUUCUGUAUACAAGUUCCUUUAUGGUGAUCAAGCUCGAUUUUUUGAUGAUGAGAUCCGACCGGAGCUUAGGCAUUCAAAAAAGGGAACUAUUGCUAUGGCGAGUGCUGGUGAAAAUUGCAAUGCCUCGCAGUUUUAUAUCACCUUGCGGGAUGACGUAGACUACCUUGAUGAUAAACACACAGUGUUCGGCAUGGUUGCUGAAGGCUUUGACACGCUGACAAAGAUUAGUGAAACAUAUGUUGAUGAUAAAGGGAGACCAUUUAAGGACAUCAGGAUUAAACAUACGUAUGUCUUGGAUGAUCCUUUUGACGAUCCUCCUCAGCUCAGUGAACUUAUUCCUGAGAAUUCUCCUGUAGGGAAACCACAGGAUGAGAUUGCAGAAGAGCGCUUAGAGGAUAGCUGGGUCCCUAUGGAUGAAACGGUGGCUCCUGAAGAACUUGAGGAGAUGAUCCGCUCCAAAGAAGCACAUACAAAUGCUGUGAUUCUUGAGAGCGUGGGAGAUAUUCCAGAUGCUGAGAUCAAACCACCAGACAACGUUUUAUUUGUUUGUAAACUCAACCCAGUAACACAAGAUGAAGAUUUAUAUACAAUUUUUUCUCGUUUUGGAACUGUGACAUCUAAGGAACAACUGAGUGACCUAAUUUGCAACAAGGUUCUGGUGUUUUGUGUAAGGCUGAGUUCCAAAUAAUUUGAGACAAAGGAGGCUUGUGAGCGGGCAUUCUUCAAGGUUAGUUGCCUAAAAUCCUGUUUCAUGUGGCAGAUAAAACUUGGUUCUUGUAAUUGUACUUUAUUUCCCUUCAUUACUUAGCAUUUCUUUG